CGGUAAUACGGGAGGGGCAAGCGUUAUYCGGAAUUAUUGGGCGUAAAGCGUCCGCAGGCGGCCUUGUAAGUCUGUUGUKAAAGCCYGGAGCUCAACUCCRUWUAWGCAAUGGAAACUACAAGGCUGGAGUGUGGUAGGGGCAGAGGGAAUUCCCGGUGUAGCGGUGAAAUGCGUAGAUAUCGGGAAGAACACCAGUGGCGAAGGCGCUYUGCUGGGCCAUWACUGACGCUCAUGGACGAAAGCCAGGGGAGCGAACGGGAUUAGAUACCCCUGUAGUCCUGGCCGUAAACGAUGAACACUAGGUGUCGGGGGAAUCGACCCCCUCGGUGUCGUAGCCAACGCGUUAAGUGUUCCGCCUGGGGAGUACGCACGCAAGUGUGAAACUCAAAGGAAUUGACGG
rnacentral:rRNA from 1 species